UAGAGUUUGAUCCUGGCUCAGAGCGAACGCUGGCGGUAUGCUUAACACAUGCAAGUCGAGCGCGAAAGUGACUUCGGUCAUGAGUAGAGCGGCGGACGGGUGAGUAACACGUGGAUAAUCUGCCUUUAGGACUGGGAUAACUCUGGGAAACUAGGGCUAAUACCGGAUAAGACCACAGGUUCCAUGGAACCAGGGGUAAAAGGCGGCCUUCGGGCUGUCACCGAAAGAUGAGUCCGCGUCCCAUCAGGUAGUUGGUGAGGUAACGGCUCACCAAGCCGAAGACGGGUAGCCGACCUUAGCGGGUGAUCGGCCACACGGGGACUGAGACACGGCCCCGACUCCUACGGGAGGCAGCAGUGGGGAAUCUUGGGCAAUGGGCGCAAGCCUGACCCAGCAAUACCGCGUGAGGGAUGAAGGCCUUCGGGUCGUAAACCUCUGUCAGUAGGAACGAUGGGUCUCCGGGCUAAUAUCCCGGAGACUUGACGGUACUUACAAAGGAAGCCCCGGCUAACUCCGUGCCAGCAGCCGCGGUAA
rnacentral:rRNA from 1 species